rnacentral:lncRNA from 1 species
AUGCUUCUCAUCCAGCACCCUCCACGAGUGAGAGGCACUCCUUGCUUUCUCUCCUCACAGCACAGACCUCAUUCACAGGAUCAAGUCACAGUCGUUUCCCCCACGAGGCAACAGCUGCACAGCGUUAACCACAAAGCCUCGUUGCACAGCCACGUGCAGCCCAACACCUGUGGUGCUCCUGACCACCACCAGCCCGCUUACAAACAUCCCGCCUGCAGGAGCCACCAGAGAACCGCUGGCUAUCAGCACCCCACAGGAGCCCGGCUGAGGCAACAGCGGCAUUACAUAACCGCGUACGGAGAGCGGCCGCGGUUACGCGAUGCAGAUGAGCGGCGGCGUCGAUUCGGCAGAUCGCCCUGCGCGCGUGUGAGGGGCAGCGCGGCCGUGCGGUGCCGUUUUAGAAGAAUAGCUUCUGCCCAAGAAUUAGAAUUGUUGGAAUAAUAUGCGAACAG